rnacentral:rRNA from 1 species
AGAGGACCGGGAUGGACGUACCUCUGGUGUGCCAGUUGUCCUGCCAAGGGCAUUGCUGGUUGGCUACGUACGGCACGGAUAAGCGCUGAAGGCAUCUAAGUGCGAAGCCGGCCUCGAGAUGAGACCUCCCACCGCAUCAAGCGGGUAAGACCCCUGAGAGAACAUCAGGUUGAUAGGCCGGAAGUGGAAGCGCAGCAAUGUGCUCAGCUGACCGGUACUAAUCGGUCGAGGGCUUGAUUCG